CUAACCUACACUGCAUACACUUUCGGAACUCUCUUUUUACUAAAAAGUGAUCUGUGCUGUGAUCUCUUGUUCGAAAAUCUUUUUGCUGGGAAUAAAUAUUUCCAUUUGUGAUUGUCAAGAUUACAUUCUAUCAGUAUACUGUUGCUGUGGUAUUCUCUUUUAAAGGGUUACUGAAAGUUUGUUGGGUAUAUAAUUUACAAGGAAAUAAGUUGUGCCGUAUUACUUCAAAUAUGUCAACUUUAAAAAAAAAAGAAAAAUGUUAGACAUUGUACAUUUCAUCGAUUCUGAUGAUUGUGGGAAAAAAUCUAUUGACUGUGUUCCAUCAGCAUGGAUAUUUUUUGAUAAAGAAAGACGCAAGCUACAGACAAAAUUUAUGCCGCCUCCAUAUAUAAUAUUACAAAAAGAUGCAAUUUAUUGCAUAGUUUGGUCAAAAACAACGGAAUAGCACCGGACAAAUGGCCUAAUUAUGCUAUAAAGAGAGUGGAUAGUGCCGGUUCAUAUUCGGAAGC